GAUUUAUGAAAUGUGAUACUGACUGACAUGAUACUGACUGAUACAGUGACUAAAGGUCAUAUUAUUGUGAUUAAGGUAUUACAAACCAAAAACCUCUUUUCUGAAGAAUACUAUGAAGAUGCACAAAUGGAAAUGUAUGAAGCCAGCAUAGGAAGAAGAGAGGAUAAAAAGUUGUUCCCUUCUAGUGCAGGAAGACGAUCUUCAUACAGAGAGAUGUCACUGUAAGUGCUCCUGCUCUUAGCUGGGAGAAGUGAAGGCCUGUCAGGGAACGAAAAUGGCUUCUGAUGUUCCUGGAUAACUGUUUUAUUAGCUGCUACCUUCACAGUGUACACUUGGAUGACUUAGCUGAAGAAAAUUAGUACACCUGAGACUUUCAGUCAGUCUUGUAUUUGUUUAGAAUGAAAAGUAGUUUGAUCAGUUCGUGUAAAAACAUAUCCAUCUUUUUUUCCUCUCAAAAGAUCAGUGCUCUCUCUCAGGCAAGAAAUGAAAGCUGCUCCUGCUCCUUUAGCGAUUGCUUCUGAUUUGCACUGCUUCAGAGCAAAGUGCAGCUGUGUCAUUGUACCUUCUGCCUGACAGAUCAUCCCGAGAUGAGAAAAUGAGAGAAGCACUCCUUUUCUUCAACACUAAAAUGGGCAUUAUGAGAGGAGCAGUUGUAUUGACCCCUUUCCAAACGGUGCAUGCAUCCAGUAUAGCUGCAUGGGCUGGGACUUGCUAACCAAUUAGUCAGUUAUAAAGCUUCCCCAGUGAAACACAAAGGGGCAGCACGACCUACCAGACCCAUACGGGGUUGGAAGUCAGGUGCUGACAAAUUCCAACCUCACUACUGCCACUCACUCACUGAAUGUCCUUGGCAUGUCACUUUCCUGUGUGCUCCACAGCUGUAAUCCAUCUGAGAGCAGUCCUUGCCUGUCUCACCAGUACAACAGAGCAGCAAGAGCUACACAAAUGCUAAGUAAUGGCUAAGUAUUGUUAUUAAAACUAUAAUAUGUCAGGUAAUGCAGAUACAUAGAUCAUCUGCCCUCUUCAGGCACUCGACUGUUAGCCUUGUGUCUUGGCACAUGGGAAGUGUGCCAGGCACCAGUUGUAAUGACGCACUUCAGUCCUGGAAUUACUUGUGUCUUCAAGGUCAGGUUGGUGACUUCAAUAUCUGUUUCACACUGCAGUACCAUGUUUGGGUCAAACUGAUAAAUAAGA
rnacentral:lncRNA from 1 species